UCCUGGCUCAGGACGAACGCUGGCGGCGUGCUUAACACAUGCAAGUCGAACGGAGCACCCCUGAAGGAGUUUUCGGACAACGGAAGGGAAUGCUUAGUGGCGGACUGGUGAGUAACGCGUGAGGAACCUGCCUUCCAGAGGGGGACAACAGUUGGAAACGACUGCUAAUACCGCAUGAUGUGUUUUGAUGGCAUCAUUGAGACACCAAAGAUUUAUCGCUGGAAGAUGGCCUCGCGUCUGAUUAGCUAGUAGGCGGGGUAACGGCCCACCUAGGCGACGAUCAGUAGCCGGACUGAGAGGUUGACCGGCCACAUUGGGACUGAGAUACGGCCCAGACUCCUACGGGAGGCAGCAGUGGGGAAUAUUGGGCAAUGGGCGCAAGCCUGACCCAGCAACGCCGCGUGAAGGAAGAAGGCUUUCGGGUUGUAAACUUCUUUUAAGAGGGAAGAGAAGAAGACGGUACCUCUUGAAUAAGCCACGGCUAACUACGUGCCAGCAGCCGCGGUAAUACGUAGGUGGCAAGCGUUGUCCGGAUUUACUGGGUGUAAAGGGCGUGCAGCCGGGCUGACAAGUCAGAUGUGAAAUCCCGCGGCUCAACCGCGGAACUGCAUUUGAAACUGUCAGUCUUGAGUACCGGAGAGGUCAUCGGAAUUCCUUGUGUAGCGGUGAAAUGCGUAGAUAUAAGGAAGAACACCAGUGGCGAAGGCGGAUGACUGGACGGCAACUGACGGUGAGGCGCGAAAGCGUGGGGAGCAAACAGGAUUAGAUACCCUGGUAGUCCACGCUGUAAACGAUCGAUACUAGGUGUGCGGGGACUGACCCCCUGCGUGCCGCAGUUAACACAAUAAGUAUCGCACCUGGGGAGUACGAUCGCAAGGUUGAAACUCAAAGGAAUUGACGGGGGCCCGCACAAGCGGUGGAUUAUGUGGUUUAAUUCGAAGCAACGCGAAGAACCUUACCAGGGCUUGACAUGGGGAUGACCGGGCUAGAGAUAGUCUUUUCCCUUCGGGGACAUCCCACACAGGUGGUGCAUGGUUGUCGUCAGCUCGUGUCGUGAGAUGUUGGGUUAAGUCCCGCAACGAGCGCAACCCUUAUCCUUAGUAGCCAGCAGGUAGAGCUGGGCACUCUAGGGAGACUGCCAGGGAUAACCUGGAGGAAGGUGGGGAUGACGUCAAAUCAUCAUGCCCCUUAUGAUUUGGGCUACACACGUGCUACAAUGGCGUAAACAAAGGGAAGCGAGAGUGUGAGCUGGAGCAAAUCCCAAAAAUAACGUCUCAGUUCGGACUGCAGGCUGCGACCCGCCUGCACGAAGCUGGAAUCGCUAGUAAUCGCGAAUCAGAAUGUCGCGGUGAAUACGUUCCACGGGUCUUGCACUCACCGCCCGUCA
rnacentral:rRNA from 1 species